AGCGAACGGACGAGAAGCUUGCUUCUCUGAUGUUAGCGGCGGACGGGUGAGUAACACGUGGAUAACCUACCUAUAAGACUGGGAUAACUUCGGGAAACCGGAGCUAAUACCGGAUAAUAUUUUGAACCGCAUGGUUCAAAAGUGAAAGACGGUCUUGCUGUCACUUAUAGAUGGAUCCGCGCUGCAUUAGCUAGUUGGUAAGGUAACGGCUUACCAAGGCAACGAUGCAUAGCCGACCUGAGAGGGUGAUCGGCCACACUGGAACUGAGACACGGUCCAGACUCCUACGGGAGGCAGCAGUAGGGAAUCUUCCGCAAUGGGCGAAAGCCUGACGGAGCAACGCCGCGUGAGUGAUGAAGGUCUUCGGAUCGUAAAACUCUGUUAUUAGGGAAGAACAUAUGUGUAAGUAACUGUGCACAUCUUGACGGUACCUAAUCAGAAAGCCACGGCUAACUACGUGCCAGCAGCCGCGGUAAUACGUAGGUGGCAAGCGUUAUCCGGAAUUAUUGGGCGUAAAGCGCGCGUAGGCGGUUUUUUAAGUCUGAUGUGAAAGCCCACGGCUCAACCGUGGAGGGUCAUUGGAAACUGGAAAACUUGAGUGCAGAAGAGGAAAGUGGAAUUCCAUGUGUAGCGGUGAAAUGCGCAGAGAUAUG
rnacentral:rRNA from 1 species